CCGGUAUUAGAGAACUUAAACAUAAACAAAUAGAACUGCCAACUGUGUGCGUAACCGUGACUGUCCCUUCGAAGAUCUCUCUUCGAUCGGGAACACGGUGGGGUUAAGAAUGCCGUAGGUAGGUGCUCAGGAUCACUUAGUGAUCAAGUAAAUCCCGACCGUUAGCGUAGACCACCUUNNNNNNNNNNAAAUUGCCAAUUGUGAGCGUAACCGUGACUGUCCCUUCGAAGAUCUCUCUUCGAUCGGGAAUGCGGUGGGGUUAUGAAUGCCGUAGGUAGGUGCUCAAGAUCACUUAGUGAUCAAGUAAAUCCCGACCGUUAGCGUAGACCACCUUUACUUCUACUUUGCGUAAGUUAGCCACUUAAUCAAGCAUAGGUUGCUGCAGCCUGAUACACU
rnacentral:lncRNA from 1 species